GAAAUGCGAUAAGUAAUGUGAAUUGCAGAAUUCAGUGAAUCAUCGAAUCUUUGAACGCACCUUGCGCUCCUUGGUAUUCCUUGGAGCAUGCCUGUUUGAGUAUCAUGAAAUCUUCAAAGUAAAUCUUUUGUUAACUCAAUUGGUUUCUACUUUGGUAUUGGAGGUCUUUGCAGCUUCACACCUGCUCCUCUUUGUUCAUUAGCUGGAUCUCAGUGUUAUGCUUGGUUCCACUCGGCGUGAUAAGUCAUCUAUCGCUGAGGACACUGUAAAAGGUGGCCAAGGUAAAUGCAGAUGAACCGCUUCUAAUAGUCCAUUGACUUGGACAAUACUUUUAUGAUCUGAUCUCAAAUCAGGUAGGACUACCCGCUGAACUUAAGC
rnacentral:misc_RNA from 1 species